rnacentral:rRNA from 1 species
UACGGGGGGGGCAAGCGUUGUUCGGAAUUACUGGGCGUAAAGCGCGCGUAGGCGGACCUGCAAGUCGGGGGUGAAAGCCCGAGGCUCAACCUCGGAACUGCCUUCGAUACUGCGGGUCUCGAGUCCGGGAGAGGUGAGUGGAAUUCCUAGUGUAGAGGUGAAAUUCGUAGAUAUUAGGAAGAACACCAGUGGCGAAGGCGGCUCACUGGCCCGGUACUGACGCUGAGGCGCGAAAGCGUGGGGAGCA